UUGCUCUCAGCCAGUGCAUAAUUGGGAUUGCUUGUCUUAUCUGCCAAGUGAACUGUGGGUCUGCUGGCCAAACGUAUGCUGGCCACAUGUGAAACAGUAUCUCCCUGCCAAGCACCAACCACAGAAAGUCAUCAUUAAUAAUCUCAUAUGAGUAGACAAUGCGGUGAUUGGUUCCAGCUCUUUGCGUGCUGGGUUUCAGGGGCAGCUCUGGCCAAUGAGAGGUGUAUUAGAAAGCCCCACUCUGUCUGUAGAUGUCAUUAACAAGUGCAAUGGAUGGACAGCAUCUGGGAGGAAGACAGAGCCCUUCAUCAGCUGUUGGCAGAGGAUCCUCUGGCUGCCUUUUCCAGCCUAGGAGCAUAAUAUUGCCUGAAGCCUAAAAGACAGGUUUUCCUAUGCCUAAUUAAGGAGGUGCUGUAGGAACCAGAGGAGUUCAGGCAGAGCUCCUGGGCUUUCCCAAGUACUCCUUUCUACUCCUAAUGAGAAGCUGUUGCUGUCUUUGGCUGAUUCCAUGUUGGUGGCGUCUCAGCACACUGUAUGCAUUCAAGGCUGCGGCUACUUAACUUAAAGGAGAGUCAUGAGUAGUGACAAACAAGAGGACAGAGAAGGCAUCUUGCAAAAGACCUCCAUUCCUACCGCCUUCAACUCAUUUUGAAGGGGUAGAGAAUUUAGCAGCCCCCAGUGAGAAAUUUCUCAAAUGUUAUUAUGAGUUUCUCUUCAGAAGGGUCAUCUGGAGCCAUGGGAUAACGAUUAGAUUCUCUGCAUAGACUGGCCUGUUUCACACACAGACCAGUCCUUGACCUCCUUGCCAUCUCCAGUCCCAAGCAGAAUUAGCACCACUUAGCUGAGUUUCCUUAGCAACUGGAAUCUUUCUGGAGUCUGUAAAACAUUAGGAGUUCAAAAAGGAAAGGUGACUGCAAAUGUGCUUUGCAGUUUGACCAGAUGUGAAGCCAGUGUCAUGAAAUACAUUCAAUUAUACUAUAAAUAGAAGGCUCAGACAGUAAGGACAAUUUCUCUGUGUCAAACUUCUUGCAGAGUCAUAUGCAAUGAAAUAGGAAUUAUAUCCAGCAUCAUGUGGGUAAGCCCCCCAAAGUUAAUGAACGAAGUUAAAAAUUUGGAGAGGGCAAAAUCUAUCUAGCUAUGUAGCUAGCUAGCUAUCUGUCUAAAGGGUAUCAGAGAUGAAAAAUCCAGGGAAAUAUAUAAGUUGCAUUUUUGGGUGGCCGAAUGUAUACACUUUCUUGAUAAAGUGCUUUCCAGUGUAAACAUUAAACCAGCCACUUAACAUUUGCCUGCUUCCACACUGUGAGAGCGCGGGAAGGCAUGUAAACAGAAAUGCAAACUGCCCAGAACAACAUUCCUGCUAAGGACACAGAGAUUAUUCAUCCAAAUUCAAAAUGAGUCCAGUGUAUGUGUUUCUCUGACAGUAUGGGCAGAAGCUUGCCCUUUCUACUCUACGGCUCUGUCUCUCCUUCCCCCUCUCCCCCUUCCUCUUUCUCUGUCAGGACAAACUUAAAUACUGUCACUCUCUGAGCAUGAUGAUUGAUGCCUGGGUAUAUCUUUCCUGUGGCUGGUCUAGGUUAUACCAAGCUCUCAUUUCCCCCAGCUGUUUCCGAUGUAACUGUUACAUAAGAUCAUACUUGCCUUGCUUGCUCCUUUACUGGAGGAACCGUUGUGGUUCCGUUGUCCCCAAAUGUAUUUCAGGACAAAACAGUACAAUAGAAGCGGGAAGACAUGGCUUUGUGAACUGUUGUACGGCAAAGUCAAGUCAAAAGUUAAGAAAUUAUACAUUUGACAUAUGUUGAGAUAUGGAUAAUUCUGGACUAAGGAAGACUAUUGGUUUACAUAAAAGAUACCCUGAUCUCACCCUCACUCAAUUCAAGUGUUUUUUAGACAUCUCUGAUAUUUUUUAAUGAGUUAUCUAACAGCAAAGGCUGUCAUCAAUCCAUUGGAUUUAUGUCCCGUUUCUACUAGCUAUUUGACAGUAUCUUCCCACUUUUUUGUGUAUUCUUUUAUCACAUAGGCGAUUCUCAAGCACUCUUGAAUGUAGUCACUUAUAGUCAAGGCUCUAAGACCUACUUUAAAAAUUGAUGAUGGAAGAGGGAAAAGAUGUUUGUUCAA